UGUUUCCCUGAUCAGUCUAGGAUUUUUCCUGAUUACAUCUUUGACUUCCUGUGUGAUGUCUACUUGACUAGCUUGCCUUUGCUCUACAUUUUGACUGUUCUUUAUUUCCUCCUGCUGCUUAAGUAUCUCAGUAAAGGUAGUUUUUAUUUCAUCCUUAAAUGAGUGUACCUUGUCAACUGAUUCUUCAAACUCCUUCUCUUUUUGCAAAAUGGUAAUUGCCUGCUUGAUCACUUCAUUUUCUUCUUUUUCUUUCAGUUUCAAGUUGCAUUGAUACAUAUCCGCACCCAUUUCUUUAAUUUUUCUUUCAUGUCACUUAUUUCUGCCAACAAUUCACUGAUUUGGCCAACUUUUCUAUAACUUCUCUGGUAAGCUUAUCUACCUUUUCCUUUAAUUUCUCAUUUUCCUUCUUAUUUUCCUCUGCCUUAGCCUCCACACUCUCUACUCUAUCAAUAAGACUUUUCACUCCCUCCAUGUCCUUCCUGUGCCUCGUAAAGUGGGACAUUUAUUAACAGUGUAUUUACCUAGUUAUAGUUUUACAGGGCCUGGGCGUUACGCUCGUGUGGUCCUGUCUCCGUAUCUACAGUUAUCCAACUUUUCCUUAAAGCUUUGCACACUCCUCGCCGAUACUACAUCCUCACUUAGUCCGUUCCAAACCUCUAUAUUUCUUUGUGGGAAGCUAUAUUUCUUUAUGUCUCAAGCAUCUUCCCUUCCUCGGAUUUUUACUAUGUCCUCUUGUGUUCCUGUUGGUAAUUUCUUCUAUUAGUAGUAACUCUUCAUUGUGUGUGUGUGUGUGUGUGUGUGUGUGUGUGUGUGUGUGUGUGAAGGGAGAGGUUUUGUGUCCGGAUGUUUCACUUACUCGUCCUGUCCAGUGUGAACACGAGUUGGCAGUGUAGAGAGUAUGAAUGUGUAUAGUUUCUGAUGCACGAGUCGUCUGUCACCACCCCCGACUCCUGCAGCCACAGUGCUUACGUUCUUCUGUACUGUGGCAGAGCUUUGUGGCAUGGGCGAGGCAGUAGGAACAGCAGCAGCACAUAUUAGGCGCUGCCCUUUUGACGUGGCUGGGAAGAGCGCAUGCGGGCGUGGGUGUGUGGCCAGGACGCCGGGAUCCGGGCGGAGCAACACGUGGUCAGUAGGGCCGGGGACGCUCUGCCGUGUGGAGCUUCAGCCGCUCAGUUCGGGAGGCUGUAGCGCUCCGGCUGUUCGCGACCCUUGGCUUGUGUGGCUCCUCAAGCGACGGUGGAUCUUCGUUAAUUACAUUAUGGGUGAAGAAGCUGAUGACUGUUGAAGGUAGCGUGAGUGCUCCAGCAAGUAAUAAUCUUCUGAGAAGACAGUGACGUGAUUGGAAACGAUUGGUACAAGGAACUGUGCUGGCGGUAGUUGCGGUCCGCGGCAAGUGUGUGUGUGCCAGGCGUACAUAUGAGUAAGGGGCGUAAUCUGGCGGGGGUGUGGGAUAUGGGGCGACCACCCAACUCCCCGCCAGCCCUGUUGCUGAUGAUGAUGAUAAUGGCGGCAGCGAGAACCUGCUUGUCCCAGGCCGCCACCGCCUCCCCACAGGUCACAGGGAACAAGCUACUCCUCCACCUUUCCCAAGACUUGCGUGAGUCCGACACACGCCUGCCCCAGGAGGG